rnacentral:rRNA from 1 species
AACACCGUCUUCUUCUUCACGGAGCUGGCGCUGCUGCAGUACGGUCUGGUGCAGUCCAAGCCCUCCAUGGUCGCCGCGGCUGCUGUCUACGCGGCCAGGCUCACCCUGAAGAAGACCCCUCUAUGGACCGACACACUGAAGCACCACACUGGCUUCACUGACGCACAACUGAUGUAUCUGCAAUUUUGA